rnacentral:rRNA from 1 species
CGUAACUUAGUGGCGGACGGGUGAGUAACGCGUGGGAAACCUGCCCUGUACCGGGGGAUAACACUUAGAAAUAGGUGCUAAUACCGCAUAAGCGCACAGCUUCACAUGAAGCAGUGUGAAAAACUCCGGUGGUACAGGAUGGUCCCGCGUCUGAUUAGCCAGUUGGCAGGGUAACGGCCUACCAAAGCGACGAUCAGUAGCCGGCCUGAGAGGGUGACCGGCCACAUUGGGACUGAGACACGGCCCAAACUCCUACGGGAGGCAGCAUG